UGCAACCAGACUAUCUCUGUUGCUAACUACUGAAUUAUCAAUUAUUGUACCUGUUGCUCCCUGAGCUAGCUUCGGCUAAGGCUUUAGGCUUAUCAAAUAGCCUUGGGCUAUUUCAGAGGCAUUGUCGAAACCUCCACAAAGUGUGAGAGUUAGUCUCAUCUCAAAGGCCAAAGUGUACUCAUCUCCUGAGGGUUCGGCUAGCAGCAACAACAACUCUCACGUCAUCAGCCGAGUCAGUGAGUCAGUAACCACUUACAAAGUGACCAGUGAACUAUAGGAGGUGAACAAUACUAUUUUUCUCAUAUCUCAUCAUUUCUGUGUCCAUCUUAUCUUUUCAUUCAUCCAUUCAUCAGUGAUUAUCAUCCAUUUAUUCAUUGGUGGUGGUUAUUAUUAUCUAUUAUUGUGUGUCAUUGUGUGGGUUUCUUGUGUUUUCUUUUUCUCAUUGUUAUCUGUGUGUCAUUUUGUCUUUGGUUUAAUCUUCGUUUUGGUAUAUUAUCUUGUUAUUUUCCAUACUCGUAUUGAACUAUUUUGUGCUUAAUGACCUUCACACCAUUUACUUGAUUUAAACGACCAUAAGGUCUUAAGAGCAAGUAACGUAAUUACUCUCACUUGCUACAGGUGUUGUUAAUAUUGUUGUUUCUUACUUAUAGCCUACAUUAAAUUUAUGUUAAGGACUA